UACGGGGGGGGUAAGCGUUGUUCGGAAUUACUGGGCGUAAAGGGCUCGUAGGCGGCCUAACUAAGUCAGACGUGAAAUACCCCGUCAGCUUAACUGGGGAACUGCGUCUGAUACUGGAUGGCUUGGAUUCGGGAGAGGAAUGCGGAAUUCCAGGUGUAGCGGUGAAAUGCGUAGAUAUCAAGAGGAACACCUGAGGUGAAGACGGGUUGCUGGGCCAACACUGACGCUGGAGGCGACGAAAGCCAGGGAGCAAACGGG
rnacentral:rRNA from 1 species